GUGAUCUCGGCUCACUGCAGCCUUCACCUCCCAGGUUCAAGUGAUUAUCAUGCCUCAGCCUGGUACUAUAGGUGUGCACCAGCACGCCCAGCUGAUUUUUUGUAUUUUUAGUAGAGACACGGUUUCACCAUGUUGGCCAGGCUGGUCUCGAACUCAUGAUCUCUGGUGAUCUGCCUGCCUUGGCCUCCCAAAGUGCUGGGAUUACAGGCGUGAGCCACCAUGCCCAGCCCAUCUGAUACCCUUUAGAAAUGGACACACGAGUCAGAAGGUGUUAUUGGAUUCUCCUUGUUAACUUAUUGCACAACUUGGGGCCUUGUGAUUGAAUGGGUGUUGAAUUUGGAUACACAGGAUUGAGUCAUCAAGGGACCAUCAGAGGAAGAGCCUAGUAACCACUUUCUUUUCCCUCUGUCUAUCAUUGUCCUCCCAGGUAUGAGUGAAAUCAUUCAUUUUUCACUGAACGCUUACUUCAUGCUGGGACCUAAGCAACAACUGUGGCGACAAUGGACUUAUUGGUAAUUUACUAUGUGCAGACACUCUCCUCACUUUUUGACAGGUAUUGUCUCACUUAAUCUGUCUCAAAUCCUUAUUGGACAUAUACUAUUAUUUCUUUGGCUGAGCAAUAAGAAAAAUUGAGAGAGAUUUAAAAUGCCAACUAGAGGUUCAUGGCUGCAUCCAUCAGGCCCACAGACUCUAAAACAUGCUCAUAACCACCAUGCUACCUACACAAUAGGAAUACAUAAUAAAACAGCAGAUGUACCUUAGUCCAUUAUCAUUUCAUGGUGGAACCUUAACCAACACUCUUCCCUUGAAAUUGUUCCCAGAUUAACUCCAACCAUCCCAAGGCUCUGGUUUACCAUGCCAUUAUGCUUCCUUUUGAUCAUAUGUAUUGUUUUUGUUGGAUGUUGCUAUAUAGUGUUUUUAGUUUUUCAUGUGGAUAUCCUGCCGAAUGUUUAUUAUCCUUGUUUGCGUACCUGGUGGACGUAAGGCCUCUCUCAAAUUUCUCUCUGUCUUUUUUUUUUCCUUAACAUUCUCAGGUUUUAAAAAAUCAUUUAAAUGGAAGGGUCACAUGAAAUUAGCUUCUCUACUAAUUUGGUCUUGUUUUUCUAAUCAUGGUUGGGUGGAGCGCCCUGUCUCCUGAAUCCUCUUUCCUUUUUCAGAGAACGUUGAUUAGAUGACCAAAAGUGCCCGGCCCUUUGCCAAGUGUGAUAGAAAACAGGGAGAAGGUAUCAUCAUCGUUUCACAGAUGCCUACAUUCCAAAGGAUCUCAUCAGAGCAUAAGAGCUCUUCCAGCUGUUGUUUAUCCAUGAAUUAUUAUUGCAAUGCUUAACCGGAGAUAGAAACUCACCAUGAGCGUAUCAACCUUUCCUCUUCAGAAGUUUCACUUCAGUUUGAAAGAAAACGCAACUGGUGAAACAAUUGCUGUGUGUCAUAAAUUAUAGGUAUCUGACAUUCAUUACAAGGAAAGCAACAGUCAAAUAUCAUGGGACUCAUAUUUAUUUAUGUCUAUAUUAUCUGUAGAUAUUAUAGAUAAUAUAUAUGUAUACUUUGACAGAGAAGGAAGAACACCACUCUGGAGUGUUUAAUCUACCAUAGUUUGAUACUGUCUUUCUUGUUUGUGCCAAUUUGAAUUACUUGGUUCUGUUUUUUGGUUAUCUGCAAUUAGUGUGCUAUUUAUUUCCAGAAUAGAGGAAACUGAAGCUUACUCUGUGUACACAAAAGAAUACUGUACCCAUUCAGUCAUGUACAAAUAGAGUUAUCUCAUGGAAAAUUCAUUUUUUUUCUUGUUUUGGUACUUUUCCUGAAGUUUUAGAAUAUGUUCUACUUUUGUCUGUGACACAAAUUUUGGAUCUUUUGAUACUGUGGAGGACACACUGCAGUUGAGCCUGCAAACUGAUAACUGUCUUUUUGGUGGCACCCUGUCUUGGUCAUUACUGACAUCAAAGCACAUUCUUCCUCCAUCCUGAUAGGUACAUAACAUAUGGGGUGCAGCUUGCAGUGUGUAAAAUAUACCAUGCAGAUAUGGACAUAAAAAUAGACACAUUAAUCAUGGAACAGGAUAGAGAACCUAGAAACAAACCUGUGCAUUUAUGGUCGAUUGAUUCUCAACAAAGAUGCCAAAAACAUACAAUAAAAAAGGACAGUUUGUCUGAUAAGUGGUAUUGGAAAACUAGAUAUCCACAAGCAGAAAAAUGAAAUUGGAGUCUUAUCUAACACCAUAUGCAAAUAUCAACACAAAACAAAUUAAACACUUAAAUGUAAGACAUGAACUGUGAAACUACUAAAAGAAAACAAAGAGGAUAUACUUUACUACAUUCAUCUGAGCAAAGAUUUCUUAGAUAGGAUCACAAAACCAUAGUCAACAAAGAAAAAUAAACAAAUCAGAUUGCAUCAAACUAAACAGCUUCUGCACAGCAAAGGAAACAAUAGAGCUAAGAGAUAGUUCGUGGAGUGGGAGAAAAUAUUUGCAAACCAUAUAAGUGGCUAAUACCCAAAACAUAUAAGGAACUCAAUGCAAUAGCAAGAAAACAAAUAAUCCAAUAAAAAUUGGGCAAAGGACCUCAAUAGACACUUAUCAAAAGAAGACAUACGUGGCUGCCAGAUAUAUUAAAAAAUGUUCAUCAUCACUAUCAUCAAGAAAAUGCAAAUUAAUACCACAAUGAGAUAUCACCCCACACCUGUUAGAAUGGCUAUCAUCAAAAAGACAAAAGAUAAAUGUUGGCGAGGGAGUGCCGACAAGGGAACCCUUAUGCAAUGUUGGUGGAAAUGUCAAUUAAUACAGCCGUUAUGGAAAACGGUAUGGAGACUCCUCAGAAAACUAAAAAUGUAUCUACCAUAUGAUCCUUCAAUCCCACUGGCAGUAUAUAGUCAAAGGAAUUGAAAUCCGUAUUCCAAAGAUACCUGCACUCUCAUGUUCAUUGAAGCAUUAUUCAUAAUGGGUAAGAUAUGGAAGCACUCUGUGUCCAUCAAGGAAUGAAUGGAUCAGGAAAAUGUGGUAUAUAUGCACAAUGAAAUACUAUUCAGCCUUAAAAAAAGGGAAAAUCCCUGUGAUCCCAGCACCUUGGGAGGCCGAGGAGGCGGAUCAUGAGGUCAGGAGAUCAAGACCACCCUGGCUAACACGGUGAAACCCUGUCUCUACUAAAAAUACAAAAAAUUAGGCGGGCGUGGUGGUGGGCGCCUGGAGUCCCAGCUACUAGGG
ensembl:lncRNA novel transcript